rnacentral:lncRNA from 1 species
UAAUAUUACGGUCUAAUGUUUUUUUGUUUUGUCUCUUUUUCUGUUGCUAGGAAAGUGGUGAGAAGAUGUCGAUGAUGCCUACUUGGGACAUUCAAAUCAACACAACAUAAAAAUUUACCUAUGUCUCAUAGGAGAGUGGAAUGAACUCCAUUGUUAGCAGAUGUGCCAUUGUUCUAUUGUGCAAUUUUGUCCGUUCUUGCUAUAUUCUUGUGUAAGGAAAUGUAUUCAUAAGAUGAGUUAUUGUGUUAUGUAAAC